ensembl:lncRNA LINC01074 long intergenic non-protein coding RNA 1074
CAGACUAGGAAAUUCUCCUAAAUAUAUCUCCAACAGAGUAAACAAGAGAUUAGGAAACUUGUCCUUCAUUCAAUUACACCUGGCAGGUGAAUGGGAGUGGAGCAGUAAGAGAUGCUGCUUCCAGUAGUUUUCUACCUCUCAAUCCUUGCUAUUCAAAGUAUGGUCCACAGUCCAGCAGCUUUGGCAUCACCUGGGAACUUGAUGGAAAUGCAGAUAAGUUCAAAUUCCCACUACUGAUAUACUGAAUUAGAAACAUCUGCCCUUCAAGAAGAUCCACUGGUGAUAAUAUGCAUAUUAAAGUUUGAGUAGCACCGCCAUUCUAUAUCAGCUUGCAAAAUGAAAGCAAGAAGAAACAAAACAAAGCAUUAGCCAGUUUGGAUUUUCUGAAGUGCACUAAAUGUCAAACUCAAGAAAAGGUAGUAGAAAAUAAAUUUCUCUUCAACCAAGUCAUUAGUAUGGAAUCAUCUACUCUGUUUUGAGGCGACACCAGCCAAUACCAGCCACAUUUUCGGAAUCAUCAUUUUCUGGUGAAAUAAACUGACUUGCAUAAUUUAA